UUAUUGUUGUGAGUGUCCAUUGUGUCUACUAGCGAGCGGAUCACCCUGUAGCAGACAUAAUAAACCCUUUGCACUUGGAUGUCCCUUACAAGGGGACAUCGCAACUCUAGCACAUUUUGUUUGUGGUUAUGUGGAAUAAAUAGAUUACAGGACAAAUUUAAAAAGAAAAUGCACGUUUUCUUAAAGUUUCCUUAUUGAAAUUGCACGAGAAAGGAAACCAAAAUAUGGUGUACAUACUUCUCUAAAAUAUCGUAUUUUUUUAAAAUAAGAAAGGUAAUGGUGUGGGCAGCGUAUCAACAUUUUAUAUCUCAAUCGGUUCAUUCGUUACCUCACAACCUUGCAUACAAGUUUGAGAAACUGUGUUUUGGACAAAAUGAGGUUAAAGUUAAACUUCUGUUGCGGUGAGGGAUUUUUUUAAUUCAAGCGCGAGUAGGGAUUUGAAUGACUUCGAAAGACAGCAGAAUUUAUUUAAAUUAAAGCAACAAAAAUCGAUUUUUUUAAACUCCUAGAGUACCCUGUCCAUUUAAAAACGUGGAAUGAUUCCAAUUAUUAAUACAGAUGAUCAAUAAAUGUCUUUCGAUCUACGUGCUAAUUGCAGAGAAAUUAGAUACGAUAAUAUUUGUCUCUCAUUUGCGUCAUUCUUAUUACAACAUUAGAAUUAUUCCAGCUUGUAAAAUGCUAAAUACUUGCAGAAGAAUAUAAAAUUUCCGUUGGGUGUGUCAAUAAAAUGUAUAAAAUAUUACGUUGAAAAUCAUUUCAUGAAAUGCAUUCAAUUAAUGGCAUAAACGUUUAUUAUUUCUAUGAAAAAGUUACUGCAUUCUAAAAGUUUCAAUGCAGUGGCCUUCUAAUCGUUUGCCUUCAAUGUGCUAAGUAUAGCACGCCUCAUGGUUGCCAAACGGGCCACUGCAGAAUCUUGAACCGGACGUUAAAGUAUUUGAAAUAGUCCAAUGCGAUACCGUACAAAAGAUAUAACUUUCGCAUCGAAAAAUGAAAAAAUAUGAGCGAAAGAAUACGUUGAUCGCCAUGUUGGUCACUAGUAACCAGCACUUCAAACUUGCAAAGCCUUCAGAACGUUCACAAGAAGUAGAGUCAAAUUUUGGAAACUUCUUAAUCAAAUUAUGAUCGUUAGAAAUACUAUCAAAUUUAUAUUUAUAACUUUUAUGGCUAAAUUAUAACUAAUUUAUAACUUAACAUAGAAUACUCCUGUUUGUUCACACUAUAGUUUAAGCAAAUAUCGAGGUCGGCCUUGAUAUAGAAAACUUGGUGACAGUGAAUAUAUUAAAACUUUAUAAGAAAUAAAUGAAACGAUGUAUGAUUGAAUGCAAUGAUGCUAUGUAGAUAGCAUUGAAACUUAGUGUUUUGCUAUAAUUUACUCUGUAAUAUUCAAAUGAAGUUAUUAACGUGAUCGAUUUGUUUUUUAACGUCCAAUUAAGCGUGUCCUAUGUUUCUUAUCAUGUAAUUGAGAUAUUUUUUUCCUGGACAAAAAGAUAGCGCAAGCGUGCUAUCAUUAAAAUCUCAUCUUAGAGACUCCAUUUAUUCCAUGGCUUACAUCGCAUGAAUUCAUCCUUAAGAAAUUAAUUAUAUCGCACACGUGCUGUCAUUUUGUCGACGAGUGUAGUUAUUCUUUUUCCAUGCUGCAGAUUCUAUUAAAGUCUUAACGAUUGCUAAUUUUUAAAACGAACUAUUUUAUCAGGUACCGCCAGCGGAGCUGGAAGCAAUCCUAAGAACCCAUCCAGACGUGGCAGAAGCAGCCGUAGUUGGUGUUCCUGACGAGAGAUCCGGCGAAGUCCCGAAGGCUUUCAUAUUGCGUAAAAAAGACUCAAAGGUGACCGAAGAGGAAAUUAAGAAUUUCAUGAAAGGAAAAGUCUCGGACUACAAGGAACUCCAAGGGGGUGUCACGUUUGUCGACAACAUACCGAAGAAUCCCAGCGGGAAGAUUCUGCGAAGACUACUUCUACAGCAGCAAUGACCUCCAUCGUUGACGAAAGAGAAACUUUAACGCGAGACAUCGAUUAACAGUUCACACAUUAUGAGAUUGGCUGUGUGCUAAGAGUGAAUAACGUUUUUCGCACACGAUUGCGCGCUGUAUUGGCAGUCGAUUGGCGUAAUAAGAAACGCGUGACUGUUAUUUAAGACACCGAAGAGAAAGUGCAAAUAUAUAUCUUCAAUUGGUAAACGGUUGAUGCGCGAUCGACCUUAUCCACGAACGUUUUCCCUGAUAUCGUAUCGUGUAGGAAUCGUUUCUGCACGGAGGAAGACAUUCGCGACUCGUUUCGAGUCGCAGUGAAAUUUGAAUUUGCAAAAUUUACUUACAACACUGUAACCACGGGCGAAACGUGUCUACGAGAACGGGUUAAUAGUCGGCGGGAUACUUUUUAAUAUUACUGGAUACAUUAUUUUUUCUAUGUCUAAUGGUGCUAUCACUGCAAUAACAAUGCAAUUAGUUUGUAAGAUUGUAUCGUUCCGUUUGGAAACGAUUUGAACGUACUGAAUGUAUCGACGUUAUACAAUUUUUAUAGGCCAUUUAUACCGUUAAGUAGCAGGUGUUUAAGGCAAUAAAAUCGUUUACAGAAGUGUUACAUUUAUUGAUCGUUGAUGAAUUAGUUGUUAGUUUCUCGAUAGCCCUUUUUUUAUUUAAAUAACGGAACGGCAUACAAAGUUAACGGUUCGAAAAUCAGCUUGCCGUACGGAUUUGCACGGAAUAUUUGAAAUUUAAAAGGUCAAGAGUAAAUAAUUAUUCCUUUUAAUAUGUUAAUUACUUUAUUUUAGAAAUGUAUAAUUACCUGUGUACAUAAAAUUGGUAAUUUGUUAGUUUCUUUGUUUGGAAAGUAUUUAAAUUAUAAAGAGAUGACUUUGUAUGAGCAAUUGUACAUGCAAUUUUUCCAAUUAAUUUAAGUUAAUAUUGUUAAAAUAUUGUACCUUACACGUCAGUGUAAGUAAAUUCUUAUUUAUCACAUAUACACAUUAAUAGACAUGAAAUAUGUUAUAAAUAAUAUGGUGCAUGUUAUUUUUAAUAAAGAAAUCUGAAUAUUUCA